AGCGAACGCUGGCGGCAGGCCUAACACAUGCAAGUCGAACGAACCCUUCGGGGUUAGUGGCGGACGGGUGAGUAACACGUGGGAACGUGCCUUUAGGUUCGGAAUAACUCAGGGAAACUUGUGCUAAUACCGAAUGUGCCCUUCGGGGGAAAGAUUUAUCGCCUUUAGAGCGGCCCGCGUCUGAUUAGCUAGUUGGUGAGGUAAAGGCUCACCAAGGCUACGAUCAGUAGCUGGUCUGAGAGGAUGACCAGCCACAUUGGGACUGAGAACCGGCCCAAACUCCUACGGGAGGCAGCAGUGGGUAAUCUUGCGCAAUGGGCGAAAGCCUGACGCAGCCAUGCCGCGUGGAUGAUGAAGGUCUUAGGAUUGUAAAAUCCUUUCACCGGUGAAGAUAAUGACUGUAGCCGGAGAAGAAGCCCCGGCUAACUUCGUGCCAGCAGCCGCCGUAAGAC
rnacentral:rRNA from 1 species